rnacentral:rRNA from 1 species
GGGCCCGCACAAGCAGUGGAGUAUGUGGUUUAAUUCGAAGCAACGCGAAGAACCUUACCAGGUCUUGACAUCCCGAUGACCGCUGUGGAGACACAGCUUCUCUUCGGAGCAUUGGAGACAGGUGGUGCAUGGUUGUCGUCAGCUCGUGUCGUGAGAUGUUGGGUUAAGUCCCGCAACGAGCGCAACCCCUGUUGUCAGUUGCCAUCAUUCAGUUGGGCACUCUGGCGAGACUGCCGGUGACAAAUCGGAGGAAGGUGGGGACGACGUCAAAUCAUCAUGCCCCUUAUGACCUGGGCUACACACGUACUACAAUGGCGAUUACAAUGGGAUGCAAUGUCGCGAGGCGGAGCCAAUCCACAAAAAUCGCCCCAGUUCAGAUUGCAGGCUGCAACUCGCCUGCAUGAAGUCGGAAUUGCUAGUAAUGGCAGGUCAGCAUACUGCCGUGAAUACGUUCCCGGGCCUU